rnacentral:rRNA from 1 species
AAUGAACGUUGGCGGCAUGGAUUAGGCAUGCAAGUCGAGCGAGAAGAGUUUUGAAGCUUGCUUUAGAACUCGGACAGCGGCGAAAGGGAGAGUAACGCGUAGUUAUGUGCCCUAGGGUCCGGAAUAGCCACGGGAAACUGUGGGUAAUGCCGGAUAACAUCCCCGGAUCAAAGGUGUGAUUCCGCCCUAGGAGCAGACUGCGUCCUACUAGCUAGUUGGUGGGGUAAUGGCCCACCAAGGCAAUGAUGGGUAGCGGGUGUGAGAGCAUGACCCGUCUCACUGGGACUGAGACACUGCCCAGACACCUACGGGUGGCUGCAGUCGAGAAUCUUCGGCAAUGGGCGAAAGCCUGACCGAGCGAUGCCGCGUGCGGGAUGAAGGCCCUCGGGUUGUAAACCGCCGUCGUAGGGGAGGAAGGUUCCGUGAAGAGCGGAAUUUGACCUAUCCUAGGAGGAAGUACGGGCUAAGUUCGUGCCAGCCGCCGCGGUAA